rnacentral:rRNA from 1 species
AUUGAACGCUGGCGGCAUGCCUUACACAUGCAAGUCGAACGGCAGCACGGACUUCGGUCUGGUGGCGAGUGGCGAACGGGUGAGUAAUGUAUCGGAACGUACCUUUCAGUGGGGGAUAACGUAGCGAAAGUUACGCUAAUACCGCAUAUUCUGUGAGCAGGAAAGCAGGGGAUCGAAAGACCUUGCGCUGAUUGAGCGGCCGAUAUCAGAUUAGCUAGUCGGUGGGGUAAAGGCCUACCAAGGCGACGAUCUGUAGCGGGUCUGAGAGGAUGAUCCGCCACACUGGAACUGAGACACGGUCCAGACUCCUACGGGAGGCAGCAGUGGGGAAUUUUGGACAAUGGGGGCAACCCUGAUCCAGCCAUGCCGCGUGAGUGAAGAAGGCCUUCGGGUUGUAAAGCUCUUUCGGCCGGGAAGAAAUCGCAUAGGCUAAUACCCUGUGUGGAUGACGGUACCGGAAGAAGAAGCACCGGCUAACUACGUG